UACGGAGGGGGCUAGCGUUGUUCGGAAUUACUGGGCGUAAAGCGCACGUAGGCGGCUUUGUAAGUUAGAGGUGAAAGCCCGGGGCUCAACUCCGGAAUUGCCUUUAAGACUGCAUCGCUUGAAUUGUGGAGAGGUGAGUGGAAUUCCGAGUGUAGGGGUGAAAUUCGUAGAUAUUCGGAAGAACACCAGUGGCGAAGGCGACUCACUGGACACAUAUUGACGCUGAGGUGCGAAAGCGUGGGGAGCAAACAGG
rnacentral:rRNA from 1 species